UACGUAGGGUGCAAGCGUUAAUCGGAAUUACUGGGCGUAAAGCGUGCGCAGGCGGUUUCGUAAGACAGAUGUGAAAUCCCCGGGCUUAACCUGGGAAUUGCAUUUGUGACUGCGGGACUAGAGUUUGGCAGAGGGAGGUGGAAUUCCAAGUGUAGCAGUGAAAUGCGUAGAUAUUUGGAAGAACACCGAUGGCGAAGGCAGCCUCCUGGGCCAAGACUGACGCUCAUGCACGAAAGCGUGGGGAG
rnacentral:rRNA from 1 species